rnacentral:rRNA from 1 species
AGUGAACGCUGGCGGUAGGCCUAACACAUGCAAGUCGAACGGCAGCACAGUAAGAGCUUGCUCUUACGGGUGGCGAGUGGCGGACGGGUGAGGAAUACAUCGGAAUCUACUUUUUCGUGGGGGAUAACGUAGGGAAACUUACGCUAAUACCGCAUACGACCUACGGGUGAAAGCAGGGGAUCUUCGGACCUUGCGCGAUUGAAUGAGCCGAUGUCGGAUUAGCUAGUUGGCGGGGUAAAGGCCCACCAAGGCGACGAUCCGUAGCUGGUCUGAGAGGAUGAUCAGCCACACUGGAACUGAGAUACGGUCCAGACUCCUACGGGAGGCAGCAGUGGGGAAUAUUGGACAAUGGGCGCAAGCCUGAUCCAGCCAUACCGCGUGGGUGAAGAAGGCCUUCGGGUUGUAAAGCCCUUUUGUUUGGAAAGAAAAGCAGCAGGUUAAUACCCCGCUGUUCUGACGGUACCCAAAGAAUAAGCACCGGCUAACUUCGUG